GGGGCUGUAGCGCAGUGGGAGCGCGCCUGGCUGGCAGCCAGUAGGUCGUGGGUUCAAAUCCCACCAGCUCCACCA
rnacentral:tRNA from 2 species